CCUACGGGAGGCAGCAGUGAGGAAUAUUGGUCAAUGGACGAGAGUCUGAACCAGCCAAGUAGCGUGAAGGAUGACUGCCCUAUGGGUUGUAAACUUCUUUUAUAUGGGAAUAAAACGUUCCACGUGUGGGAUUUUGUAUGUACCAUAUGAAUAAGGAUCGGCUAACUCCGUGCCAGCAGCCGCGGUAAUACGGAGGAUCCGAGCGUUAUCCGGAUUUAUUGGGUUUAAAGGGAGCGUAGGUGGAUUGUUAAGUCAGUUGUGAAAGUUUGCGGCUAAACCGUAAAAUUGCAGUUGAAACUGGCAGUCUUGAGUACAGUAGAGGUGGGCGGAAUUCGUGGUGUAGCGGUGAAAUGCUUAGAUAUCACGAAGAACUCCGAUUGCGAAGGCAGUUCACUGGACUGCAACUGACACUGAGGCUCGAAAGUGUGGGUAUCAAACAGGAUUAGAUACCCCGUAGUC
rnacentral:rRNA from 1 species